UUCUAAAAAUCAAAUGUCCUCAGGUGAGGAUUAACGAUAAAAGAAAAAGAGGUGUGUUGGUUGAAAAUACUAAAUAAGAGCAGUCCAGGUGGUUGUUGGGUGUGGCAGGACUCGUGAAGGUGUUGGGCAGACGCUGCCCUACAGAAGGCCUCAUGGAAUCUUGGACACGGACCAAAUGGGAACACGUUGCGGACAAAGAAUCUUCAUAAGCCCCACGCUGAUGAGCAUCAAUAGCUGACAUAUGAACCGGAAUCCACAUUUGAGAAGCUGACUUCCAUCAGAGACAUGAGCCAGGCAGCCAGGAAGCUUCUCCUUUCCCGUCCCCUUCUGGCCACACACUUGUCAACUAGACAAGGUGGAGGCCCUCCUGCUACACAGCCUGUCCCAGAGACCACAGUGGAGACAUGGGGCAAAUCGUACUUGGAUGACCUCUUCGGUGACGUCAUCACUUUGGUUGGUUGUUUGAUACAUGGACAAAGAGCAACGAGUAAUGGGUUUCCAACAGGCAAGGUCUUUGGAGGAGGAGAGCUGCUUUCAGAAGGCCCCAGCGUUGAGGAGGCCCCUGCCUGGUGUUUCUAGCUGAGAACAGGCCUGCUCCCUUCAAAAGUUCUGUGCCAACAGAGAGGCUCCCGUCCAGGCCCAGGACGGGGGGAUGGAGAGGUUGAGACUGGGUGCCGAGGCCGGGAAGGCAUUGGUCCCCCUCCCCAAAGGGAGAAGGCGGGCCUGUCCGAAGACCUCUCCCGCCUGCAGCAUUGCACAGAUGGCCUUGCCUUGGCUUCUGGCCUUCCGCACCGCGAUGGAUGUUUACAGGAACCCAGCCAGAGUAUGCCUCCCUGCUCUUUCUCCCCAACUGCACCUGCUCCCUACACUUAACUUUCUUCAAGAGGACACGUCACACCGCGGACACACAAACAGAAACGACAGGCAACUCCGGCUGCUGCCCGUGGAGCCCUCAGCCCGACUGGGUUUGGCCCAGGCUGAUCUUAGAGGCAGCGACUGUUUCAGGGAAUGACUCCGAAGGAGAAGAGGCGGGGAAGGCGUCCGGGCUGAGGGCACGGCUUCAACUUAUUCAUUUCAAGUUGCUUCUUCAUCAAGUUGCCAAGAUCGAUCCACCGUGCCUGGGGAGGCCGUGUUGCUCCUCUGGCCAGAAUUAUUUUUAGAAAAUGCGAGUGGUUUGAAUACUGGACUUUGAUAAACCUGUAAAAGCAAUACUAAGGAGGCUGACUUCUUUCAAUUAAAAAAAUGUAUGCAACUUCAA